GGUCUCGUAGCUCAGCUGGUAGAGCGUGCGCUACACAAAAGCGUAGGCAGCGUCCAUGUGUAAGUUCGAAUCCCAUCGACACCA
rnacentral:tRNA from 1 species